rnacentral:tRNA from 1 species
GCCCCGGUAGCUCAGUGGUAGAGCACCUGCCUCGUAAGCAGGGGGUCGAGAGUUCAAAUCCCUCCCGGGGCU